rnacentral:rRNA from 1 species
GUGAGGAAUAUUGGUCAAUGGGCGAGAGCCUGAACCAGCCAAGCCGCGUGAGGGAAGAAGGCGCUCAGCGUCGUAAACCUCUUUAGCCGGGGGACAAAACCUCCUCGUGAAGGAGGCUUGAGAGUACCCGGAGAAUAAGCAUCGGCUAACUCCGUGCCAGCAGCCGCGGUAAUACGGAGGAUGCGAGCGUUAUCCGGAUUUAUUGGGUUUAAAGGGUGCGCAGGCGGACAUUCAAGUCUGCGGUCAAAUUCCGGGGCUCAACCCCGGCCAGCCGUGGAAACUGAAUGACUUGAGUGGGCGAGAGGUAUGCGGAAUGCGCGGUGUAGCGGUGAAAUGCUUAGAGAUCGCGCAGAACUCCGAUUGCGAAGGCAGCAUACCGGCGCCUUACUGACGCUCAGGCACGAAAGCGUGGGGAUCGAACAGGA